rnacentral:lncRNA from 10 species
CUCCAGAGGCAUACAGUGAGUGACAAAAGGUCAAGAAAUCAAUAAGUAGUACAUAGCCUGGCUAAGCUCUAAAUAUCUGUGUGUGGGAAGGGCAUUUUAGUUAUGGAAGGCUUCCUGGAGGAGGCAAAUAAGGAGCUGAAAAGGAGAAAGUCAUUCUUAGAUAGAGGAAAUGACUUUUUUUUUUUUUUUUUUUUCCUUUUUAGAGACAGGGUCUCACUCUGCCACUCAGGCUGAAAUGCAGUGACGUGAUCAUAGCUUACUGCAGCCUCGAGCUCCUGGGCUCAAGCAAUGGAAAUGGCCUUUGGGUAGAGUUGUCUUUCAGGAGGUGUAGCCUGAUUGUGGCCCAGGGAGUUUGGCUGUUCUGUGUGGUACACAUCCACUAUGUGGUCUCCAGUGAGCUGCUCAGCAGGUGUAGACCUGGGCAGGGCAAAGUUCUCUGGGCUGUUGACUGUGAGGCCCCUCCCCACCAGUAGAUUUCCAGGCCUCUUCAGUUUUGCAUUCAGCCAC